GACUCUCGGCAACGGAUAUCUCGGCUCUCGCAUCGAUGAAGAACGUAGCGAAAUGCGAUACCUGGUGUGAAUUGCANAAUCCCGCGAACCAUCGAGUCUUUGAACGCAAGUUGCGCCCGAGGCCUCUUGGCUGAGGGCACGCCUGCCUGGGCGUCACGCCAAAU
rnacentral:rRNA from 1 species